rnacentral:rRNA from 1 species
CAGCAGUGGGGAAUUUUGGACAAUGGGGGCAACCCUGAUCCAGCCAUGCCGCGUGAAUGAUGAAGGCCUUCGGGUUGUAAAGUUCUUUUGGCGGGGACAAUAAUGACGGUACCCGCAGAAUAAGCUCCGGCUAACUUCGUG